AAACAUGUCUUUUUGAAUUUAAUUUAAAGUCUAAUCUGCCCACUGAUUUAAAAUUAAAGGGCUGCAGUAAUUUGACUGUACAAAGGUAGCAUAAUCAUUAGUCUUUUAAUUGAAGACUUGUAUGAAAGAUUUGAUGAGAUAUAAACUGUCUCUUAUUUAUAAUUAAAAUUUAAUUUUUUAGUUAAAAAGCUAAAAUAAAUUUAAAAGACGAGAAGACCCUAUAGAGUUUUAUAAUUUAUAAAUUAAAAUAUUUAUAUAAAAUUUUAAUAUUAAAUUUUGUUAAUUAUUUUAUUGGGGUGAUAAAAAAAUUUAAAAAACUUUUUUUUAAAAAUUUUCAUAAAUAAAUGAAUAAAUGAUCUUGAAUAAUGAUUAAAAGAAAAAAUUACCUUAGGGAUAACAGCGUAAUAUUUUUUUUUAGUACAAAUAAAAAAAAAAGUUUGCGACCUCGAUGUUGGAUUAAGAUAAAAUUUAAAUGCAAAAGUUUAAAAUUUUGAUCUGUUCGAUCAUUAAAAUCUUACAUGAUCUGAGCUCAAA
rnacentral:rRNA from 1 species